AGAGUUUGAUCCUGGCUCAGGAUAAACGCUGGCGGCGUGCCUAACACAUGCAAGUCGGACGCGCCUGGAGCAAUCCAGGCGAGUGGCGGACGGGUGAGUAACACGUGGGGAUCUACCCACAGGUGAGGAAUACCGGCGAGAAAUCGCCGACAAGACCGCAUAGGCUCAGGGGCAACCUUGAGCAAAGCUCGCGAGAGCGCCUGUGGAUGACCCUGCGGCUGAUUAGCUAGUUGGUGGGGUCAAGGCCUACCAAGGCGACGAUCAGUAGCUGGUCUGAGAGGACGAUCAGCCACACUGGGAUUGAGAACGGCCCAGACUCCUACGGGGGGCAGCAGUGAGGAAUUUUCGUCAAUGGGGGAAACCCUGAACGAGCAACGCCGCGUGCAGGAAGAAGGUUUUCGGAUCGUAAACUGCUUUUCUUGGGGAAGAGAACGGACGGUACCCAAGGAAGAAGCCCCGGCUAACUACGUGCCAGCAGCCGCGGUAAUACGUAGGGGGCAAGCGUUGUCCGGAGUUACUGGGCGUAAAGGGCACGCAGGCGGUCAUGUCAGUUUCUGGUGACACGUCACGGCUUAACUCUGGCAGGCCUGGAAAGACGGCAUGACUUGAGUGCU
rnacentral:rRNA from 1 species